rnacentral:misc_RNA from 1 species
CAACCCUCAAGCUCUGCUUGGUAUUGGGUGUCAUCACUGUGAUGCAUCUUAAAAAUAUUCACAGUGGCAUCUAGCUCCUUGGCGUAGUAAUGUCCUCACUAUUGGAGUUUAGGUGUCUGACUGUUAGAACCUCUUAAAUCUAUCACAA